AGCGCUCACUUGAGUUGGAAAGUUGAGGAAAAUCAGUCUACUCAGGAGCUAAAAGCCUUGGAAAUGAUCCUUUAUCUCCGGUUUUUACAGUGCAGCAACUUUGUGAGGAAUGUUUUUGCAGAGUUCCCAUAUAAACUGUCUUGAACUCCUGGAAGAAAAUAAGUCUAUCAGUUUAACAAAUACAAUAAAUAUGUCACAAGUAUAAAAGCAGAAACCUGGUGCUAUUGUAUACGAUCAUCAUGGGAAAACGUACGUGAAAACAACAGAGUACUUUUGAUGGGAUAUCCCAUCUAUGACAAAAGUUGAAAGGUGGAUUUUCCCCUAAAUAACAUCUUUAUUGUGUACAUGAUUUAAUAUGAAUGAAAGACAAAAGUCAGAGCAAUCCAUAACCAACGAACUAACGUAUUGUAAUUCUGUCUAUGGACAACAGAGAAAGGUAAGAUGAACAGAAACAUGUCUUGCUAGCAAGAACAUGAGCUGAAGUGCUUUGUAGAAUACUGAGAAUUAAUGCUUAUUAAUGCAAAACUCCUGAUGGAACAAUUACCAUGACCAUUAAUGGUUAAAUAAAACACUGUUUUUCUUUCCCAACAUUCUUUUGUUUCCUUUUUUUUAACUUCAACAUUGACACAUCAUAGAUUUUACGUGAUACAUUUCAUGUAUAGCACAAAAUCAGAUACAUGGAACAAAUGGCUAUUGCUUAUGAUUGUGGAUACAGUCCAAGCUGAAAAUAUGCUAUAACGAAAGAGAAGAUAAAGUUAGUUUCACCUGAGGACAGAGUUAAAUCAUUUCCAACAGAUCAGUUCCAAAAUGCAGUUAUUUCCUACAGAUAAUUUGUUCUGACCCAAACCUUGUUCCAAAGAAACAAACACAAAACAGAGACUUCCCUUAAUCCUCCAGGAAAAGAUUGAAGGCAAACGAGGUCCAGGCAGAAGAAGAUCAUGGUUUCAACAUUUAAGGGACUGGUUUGGACAAAACUCAGCAGCACUUUUUCAUGC